CACAGACUUUCUGCUGACUCCAGCAAAUAAGAUCAUAGUUGCUGCAGGUGGCUUCAGUGAUGAAUAGAGAGUUGAAGCCUCUAAUUCAACCUUUAACACUGACUGCUUGGAAGCCAAGCAU